rnacentral:rRNA from 1 species
AGGCUUAACACAUGCAAGUCGAGCGCCCCGCAAGGGGAGCGGCAGACGGGUGAGUAACGCGUGGGAAUCUACCUUUUGCUACGGAAUAACGCAGGGAAACUUGUGCUAAUACCGUAUGUGUCCUUCGGGAGAAAGAUUUAUCGGCAAGAGAUGAGCCCGCGUUGGAUUAGCUAGUUGGUGGGGUAAAGGCCUACCAAGGCGACGAUCCAUAGCUGGUCUGAGAGGAUGAUCAGCCACAUUGGGACUGAGACACGGCCCAAACUCCUACGGGAGGCAGCAGUGGGGAAUAUUGGACAAUGGGCGCAAGCCUGAUCCAGCCAUGCCGCGUGAGUGAUGAAGGCCCUAGGGUUGUAAAGCUCUUUCACCGGAGAAGAUAAUGACGGUAUCCGGAGAAGAAGCCCCGGCUAACUUCGUGCCAGCAGCCGCGGUAAUACGAAGGGGGCUAGCGUUGUUCGGAAUUACUGGGCGUAAAGCGCACGUAGGCGGAUCGAUCAGUCAGGGGUGAAAUCCCAGGGCUCAACCCUG